rnacentral:snoRNA from 1 species
AUGGGCCUCCAGCCUGCUGGGGUCGGCAGUGAGCGUGUGUGUUUCUACAGCCUUUCCUUGAACAGCUGAGAAGUGAUUGAAGCCUUGUUCUGCUCCAUCCAAGGCAAGGCUAUAGAAAUAGCAGACAAUU